rnacentral:misc_RNA from 1 species
AAGUCGUAACAAGGUUUCCGUAGGUGAACCUGCGGAAGGAUCAUUAACACGAAACAUAACGAAAUUUAUGUUUUCCAACUAAACCUGUGCUCUUUCUUUUUUUCCCACACCUUCAACCCUUUUUUUAAUUAAUUUUUUCUAUUUGUCCAAAGAACUACAGUUUUUUGGUUACAACUUAAAUAAAGUUGAACAUACAACUGUUAACAAUGGAUAUCUAGGCUCUCGUAAC